rnacentral:rRNA from 1 species
GAUGAACGCUGGCGGCGUGCCUAAUACAUGCAAGUCGAGCGAACGGACGAGAAGCUUGCUUCUCUGAUGUUAGCGGCGGACGGGUGAGUAACACGUGGAUAACCUACCUAUAAGACUGGGAUAACUUCGGGAAACCGGAGCUAAUACCGGAUGAUAUUUUGAACCGCAUGGUUCAAAAGUGAAAGACGGUCUUGCUGUCACUUAUAGAUGGAUCCGCGCUGCAUUAGCUAGUUGGUAAGGUAACGGCUUACCAAGGCAACGAUGCAUAGCCGACCUGAGAGGGUGGUCGGCCACACUAGAACUGAGGCACGGUCCAGACUCCUACGGGAGGCAGCAGUAGGGAAUCUUCCGCAAUGGGCGGAAGCCUGACGGAGCAACGCCGCGUGAGUGAUGAUGGUGUUCGGAUCGUAAAACUCUGUUAUUAGGGAAGAACAUAUGUGUAAGUAACUGUGCACAUCUUGACGGUACCUAAUCAGAAAGCCACGGCUAACUACGUG